CCUGCACUGUGAAUGUUUACAUAGUGUGUUCAAUAAAAACAUAGCAACAUUUCAUUCUUUGUGUGUUAUUAGUUUAAGCAGACUGUGAUUGUCUAUUGUUGUGACUUAUAUGAUGAUCAGAUCACAUUUUAUGACCAAUUUGUGCAGAAAUCCAUAUCAUUCCAAAGGGUUCACAUACUUUUUCUUGCAACUGUAUUUCCUA